GGAGAGGUGUCUGAGUGGUCGAAAGAGCACGCCUGGAAAGUGUGUAUACUUCAAAAGGGUAUCGAGGGUUCGAAUCCCUCCCUCUCCGCCA
rnacentral:tRNA from 2 species